AACUCUUAGCAGUGGAUCACUUGGCUCAUGCAUUGAUGAAGAACGCAGCUAGCUGUGAGAAUUAAUGUGAAUUGCAGGACACAUUGAUCAUUGACACUUUGAACACACUUGCGGCCCUGGGUUCCUCCCAGGGCUUUAAGAAAAA
ensembl:rRNA 5_8S_rRNA 5.8S ribosomal RNA